rnacentral:lncRNA from 1 species
GAGGGGUGUGAGCUGUGUGGUGUGUGAGGAGGAGAGGGGUGUGAGCUGUGUGGUGUGUGAGGAGAGGGGUGUGAACUGUGUGGUGUGUGAGGAGAGGGGUGUGAGCUGUGUGGUGUGUGAGGAGAGGGGUGUGAGCUGUGUGGUGUGUGAGGAGGAGAGGGGUGUGAGCUGUCUGGUGUGUGAGGAGGAGAGGGGUGUGGGCUGUGUGGUGUGUGAGGAGGAGGGGGGUGUGGGCUGUGUGGUGUGUGAGGAGGACAGGGGUGUGGGCUGUGUGGUGUGUGAGGAGAGGGAUGUGAGCUGUGUGGUGUGUGAGGAGAGGGGUGUGAGCUGUGUGGUGUGUGAGGAGAGGGGUGUGGGCUCUGUGGUGUGAGGAGGAGAGGGGUGUGAGCUGUGUGGUGUGAGGAGGAGAGGGGUGUGAGCUGUGUGGUGUGUGAGGAGAGGGGUGUGAGCUGUGUGGUGUGAGGAGAGGGGUGUGGGCUGUGUGGUGUGUGAGGAGGACAGGGGUGUGAGCUGUGUGGUGUGUGAGCAGGAGAGGUGCAUGAGCUGUAUGGUGUGUGUGGCCCAGGCUGCUUGAGGACAAUCAGGUUCCACGUAAUAAUUCUGCCACUAAGUGGUUCCUUAAUAUUGGGUAAGUUGCUGAUAUAUUUAAAUCCUGCCUCACUCUCUCCAAAAAAGAGAUUUGAGGCAGCUUAUAAUAAAAUACAAGUAUAUUUCCUU